rnacentral:rRNA from 1 species
GAUGAACGCUGGCGGCGUGCUUAACACAUGCAAGUCGAACGGUGAACGAGGGAGCUUGCUCCCUCCGGAUCAGUGGCGAACGGGUGAGUAACACGUGAGCAAUCUGCCCCGAACUCUGGGAUAAGCGCUGGAAACGGCGUCUAAUACCGGAUACGACGCGCGAAGGCAUCUUCUGCGCGUGGAAAGAAUUUCGGUUCGGGAUGAGCUCGCGGCCUAUCAGCUAGUUGGUGAGGUAACGGCUCACCAAGGCGACGGCGGGUAGCCGGCCUGAGAGGGUGACCGGACACACUGGGACUGAGACACGGCCCAGACUCCUACGGGAGGCAGCAGUGGGGAAUAUUGCACAAUGGGCGCAAGCCUGAUGCAGCAACGCCGCGUGAGGGACGACGGCCUUCGGGUUGUAAACCUCUUUUAGUAGGGAAGAAGCGAAAGUGACGGUACCUGCAGAAAAAGCACCGGCUAACUCUGUGCCAGCAGCCGCCGUAAUAC